GUGCUCACUUCAGCAGCACAUAUACUAAAAUUGGAAUGUUACAGAGAAGAUUAGCAUGGCCCCUGUGCAAGGAUGACACACAAAUUUAUGAAGUGUUACAUUUUUUU
ensembl:snRNA U6 U6 spliceosomal RNA